rnacentral:tRNA from 1 species
GCCUUCGUGGUAUAAUGGUAGCACACUCGGCGCGUAUUCGAGAGGUCAAAGUUUCGAGUCCUGGCGAGGGCA